UACGAAGGGGACUAGCGUUGUUCGGAAUUACUGGGCGUAAAGCGCGCGUAGGCGGAUCGCUAAGUCAGGGGUGAAAUCCCAGGGCUCAACCCUGGAACUGCCUUUGAUACUGACGAUCUGGAGAUCGGGAGAGGUUGGUGGAAUUCCGAGUGUAGAGGUGAAAUUCGUAGAUAUCUGGAGGAAUACCGGUGGCGAAGGCGGCAUCCUGGACCGGCAUUGACGCUGAGGAGCGAAAGCCAGGGGAGCAAACGGG
rnacentral:rRNA from 1 species